rnacentral:miRNA from 1 species
CAAUUCGAAUCUCGGGGAAUU